CCUGAUCGAAGAUGUCAAAAAGCGGUCUAAUACUUCUGUGCCAACGACUUCAGCAAGUUGCGAAAACUCUCGAAAAAGACAAAGAAAAAAGUAAUACUAAAAGACUAACCUGCCACUUCCACGACAUGCGACCAAAGAACAGGGCUUAGACUCCGACCUCCAGCACCUAGUUCUACAGAGGACCAAAACAUCAAAAAGCAAGCCUAGUCACCAAUGGCCUACAUGCAAACACCUGUGGAUAUGUCAACACUGACACUCAACAAAGAUAUGAUGGUGGUGGCAUACAUGCACAUCUGGUGCCAUAUGACCUGCUCACUGACCGGGAGAAGCACGAAAACCGAGACCAUGCGCAAGAGUUCCUGAAGUUUCUUCAGUAUGAGGGCUACCGUGUUUCAAG